rnacentral:lncRNA from 1 species
AUGCAUAGCCUAUUUUGCCCUUAUUUCUUUGCUAAAAGUAGUUGUAUAUCUUUAUGUAGAUGCAAAGAAGCUGAGAAGUAUUGGAGAGCAAAUAGAAUGUUUAAUGAAGAUCACUAUCUCUGUCACAACAUGAAUGAGAAGAGGCUUCAAUUGGUUGAAUCAGUAGCAGAAAUGGAAAGCUUCUUUUACUCGUAAAUGAAAGAAGAGACAGAGUGAGCAUUUUGUACCUUUUAAUAAAAAAGUGGAUAUUUAUUUUGAUUCAACUUGACAGGCAGAAAAGGUUCUGUUAUAAAUGGCCAGGUUUAAAAAGUGGAGAUAUUACCAAGGGGAUGGAGGAAAAGUUACCAGUCCAUGCCAAGGCAAGUUGUGAAGUAGGAACACUUUACAUUUCUUAUCUUUCUACCUCUGAUAGUGUAGGCCUUUUUCCAGGAUUUUCUCCACAUUGAGAAACUCAGGACCUUCAUUACUUCCUCUGAAGAACCCAGUUUAUCUGCCAAAUAUAGCACUGCACCAGGUCCUGUUCAAUUAAAUUCAAAAACAUAUAUUGAGUACAUUCUACAUGCUAGGAACUGUCCCAGGCCCAGGGAAUUAAAUAUUGAAUAAAGCCCAAUCCAUGCUUUAAAGGCAUCUCACAAUUUUGUGAGUCUCCUUCCCCUACAUCACUCUAAAACCAUUCAGAGUGGGUAUAUAGUGGUCUAUUGAUACAAACCAAGUUCAACAUGGAUACUGGGGGAUUAAGGAAAUCUUCGAAGGUUGAAAAGGAGAGAGGAGGGUAAAUAUAUACCAAUUACACAGUUAACAUUCAUUGAGCACUUACCAGCUGCUAGCUUUUCUAAGGCCUUGUACACAUUAAACUUAUUUAAUCUUUACAUUAGCUCUAUCAUUAGUAGCAAUAUUAUUGCCAUUUUCCUGUAUCCACUGGGGCACAAUGAGGUUAAGUUGUCAAAUAUAAAAUAGUAGGUAGUAAAAGCAGUUCUGAACCUAGUCAAGCCAUCAUGGUUACCACUGGGCUGUAUGCAAAGAUACAUUUUCUAUUCAGUCAUCCAUAAGUACAUGUGUAUCUAUGUUAAUUAAGUCAACAAACCAUGUCCUUGCAUUGUACUAGCUCUAAUGAUAUAAAGAAAAGUUGAAAAUGGCUUGCUCCUUCAAAUAUUCCCAAAUUGAAUGGAGUAGACAUCUCAGCAAACAAAACAUGACAAAUUUGAUUUAAACAAAAUACAAAGGUAGAUGAGAAAACAUACAAGGGACUCCUACCUCUAGAUUGGAGUCUUGUAUGAUGAAUAUUAGUUUAAUUAAUUUUAUAUUCUAUGCCCACUUAUAAAAAAGAUUUAUUUAAGAGGACUUUCAAAGAUGCAGGAAAGAUAGUGUCUUUGAAAUGCCAACAACCUUUUGACUGGGACCUUUAAUCUGCUUAGUUUACUACAAUAUCUUUUCAGUCUCUCACCUCUCUUGGUGACUUCCCAAACCAGGUUGAAUUCAACCCAUGUCUCCUCUGCAUCUAGGCCUGCAAGGUGAAACUAUGCUGGAGGAAAACACACACCUCACAUAUGUGGUCACUAAGAUUAAAUGAAC